rnacentral:rRNA from 1 species
UACGUAGGGGGGCAAGCGUUGUCCGGAUUUAUUGGGCGUAAAAGAGCGUGUAGGCGGUCCGGUAAGUCAGCUGUGAAAGUCAAGGGCUCAACCCUUGAAAGCCGGUUGAUACUGUCGGGCUAGAGUCCGGAAGAGGCGAGUGGAAUUCCCGGUGUAGCGGUGAAAUGCGCAGAUAUCGGGAGGAACACCAAUGGCGAAGGCAGCUCGCUGGGACGGUACUGACGCUGAGACGCGAAAAGCGUGGGG